AGAGUUUGAUCAUGGCUCAGGAUGAACGCUGGCGGCGUGCUUAACACAUGCAAGUCGAACGGAGUUUUAAGCGGAAGUUUCGGAUGGAAGUUUAAGAACUUAGUGGCGGACGGGUGAGUAACGCGUGGGUAACCUGCCUCAUACAGGGGGAUAACAGUUAGAAAUGACUGCCAAGACCGCAUAAUAUAGCGAAACCGCAUGAUUUUUGCUAUCAAAUAUUUAUAGGUAUGAGAUGGGCCCGCGUCUGAUUAGCUAGUUGGUGGGGUAAAAGCCUACCAAGGCGACGAUCAGUAGCCGGCUUGAGAGAGUGACCGGCCACAUUGGGACUGAGACACGGCCCAAACUCCUACGGGAGGCAGCAGUGGGGAAUAUUGGACAAUGGGGGAAACCCUGAUCCAGCGAACCGCCGCGUGAGUGAAGAAGUAUUUCGGUAUGUAAAGCUCUAUCAGCAGGGAAGAUAAUGACAGUACCUGACUAAGAAGCCCCGGCUAACUACGUGCCAGCAGCGGC
rnacentral:rRNA from 1 species